CCUACGGGGUGCUGCAGUGAGGAAUAUUGGUCAAUGGGCGGGAGCCUGAACCAGCCAAGCCGCGUGAGGGAAGAAGGUACAGCGUAUCGUAAACCUCUUUUGUCAGGGAACAAAGGCGGGGACUAGUCCCCGGAUGAGGGUACCUGAAGAAAAAGCAUCGGCUAACUCCGUGCCAGCAGCCGCGGUAAUACGGAGGAUGCGAGCGUUAUCCGGAUUUAUUGGGUUUAAGGGGUGCGCAGGCGGCCUGUUAAGUCAGCGGUAAAAGCCCGGGGCUCAACCCCGGCGAGCCGUUGAAACUGGGGUGCUGGAGUUGGAGAGAAGUAAGCGGAAUGCGUGGUGUAGCGGUGAAAUGCUUAGAUAUCGCGCAGAACCCCGAUUGCGAAGGCAGCGUACCGG
rnacentral:rRNA from 1 species